AAUCAACGCUGGCGGCGUGCCUCAGACAUGCAAGUCGAACGCGAAAGUCUCCUUCGGGGGACAAGUAGAGUGGCGCACGGGUGAGUAACACGUAGGUAAUCUACCUUUGGAUGGGGAAUAACAACCGGAAACGGUUGCUAAUACCGCAUAAUGCAGCGGCACCUAAUGGUGACAGUUGUUAAAGCGGGGGAUCGAAAGACCUCGCGUCUGAAGAGGAGCCUGCGGCGGAUUAGCUAGUGGUAAGGUAAUGGCUUACCAAGGCUACGAUCCGUAACCGGCCUGAGAGGGCGGUCGGUCACACUGACACUGACAUACGGGUCAGACUCCUACGGGAGGCAGCAGUCGGGAAUUUUGGGCAAUGGGCGAAAGCCUGACCCAGCAACGCCGCGUGAAGGAUGAAAUCCCUCGGGAUGUAAACUUCGCAAGAACGGGAAGAAUAAGCGAGAGUAAAUAUCUUUCGCGAUGACGGUACCGUUUGUAAGCUCCGGCUAACUCCGUGCCA
rnacentral:rRNA from 1 species